AAAUGUAAAAAAUCAUUUAGGAUGAAAAUUUCAUUGAGGGAAUCUGGUUAGAAUCCAGAACGAUCCGGUCACUGUAAUUAGUUAUGUCUCCUUAAUAUGUCACUGGGCACGUAUUGUCUGGGAAGGCAAGGGGAAUAAACGCUAUAAGUCAGGAAACCUACUAAAAUGAUGUACUAAAG
rnacentral:ncRNA from 1 species